ensembl:snRNA U6 U6 spliceosomal RNA
GUGCUCGCUUUGGCAGCGCAUAUACUAAAAUCGGAACGAUACAGGGAAGAUUAGCAUGGCCCCUGCGCAAAGCGGACACACAUAUUCAUGAAGCGUUCCCUUUUUUU